rnacentral:lncRNA from 1 species
UCCCUUCCCUUCCCUUCCCUUCCCUUUCUCUUUUUCUUUCUUACAUAUGCUCUCACAGAAGCACAAACAACAUCACUUAUUGGCUCAGCUCUGGCUGGCGGCGGACCCCUUAUCUAGCUUCUUAUGAAGUUUGCAGAUGACACCAAAUCAGGGGUGGUGGUGGUGAUGGUGACCUACCUGAUUUGGACAAGCGCAGGGGUGCCACCCAGAGGGACCCAGGCAAGGUGCAGAAAUGAGUCACCAGGAACCUCAUGAAUUUCAACAGACAAAUACAGAGUCCUGCACCAGGAAAGGAAAAGCCUCAACGGAACAGGAUGGGGACUGACUGGCCAGGGAAAAGCUGCUGAUGAGAAGGACCUGGGAUGUCAUUGUAGACAAUACAGUGUAUCCUGGCAGCAAGGAAGGUCAGUAGCAUCCUGCACUGUAUCAAGAGCAGCGCAGCCAGCAGACUGAGGUGCGUGACUUUCACCUGCCUUCCAGGGAGUGCUACACAGCAUCUAGAAAACUGCAUCCAGUCUUGGAUCUUCCCAACCCAGAGAAGAUACCAACAAAGCUGGAGUAAAUUCAUCAGGGUCAGCAAGAUAGACAACAAAGACCAUAACUGGUGUUUUAGGAACCACGAAUCGAUGCCCUUAGCAGAAAUAAGCUGCCACUUCCCAAAGCCAAGAGGGCUCGAAGACACAAGAUGGUGAAGGGCCUGGGACACAAGUCCUGUGAGGAGCAGCUGAGGGCACUGGGGUUGUUUAGUCUGGAGGAGACUCAGGGGAGACCUUAUUGCUCUCUACAGCCACCUGAAAGGAAGGUGUGGGGAGCUGGGGGUUGGUCUCCUCACAGGUAACUAGUGAUAGGACUAGAGGGAAUGGCCUCAAGUUGCACCAGAGGAGGUUUAGGUUGGCAAUGAGGAGACAUUUCUGCUCAGAAAGAGCAGUCAGGCACUGGGACGGGUUGCUCAGGAGGUGAAGGCGUCACCGUCCCUGGGGGUGUUCAAGGAGAGGUUGGACGUGGUGCUUAAGGACAUGGUGCAGUGGGUGGCAUUGGCGGUGGGGUGACGGUUGGACCAGGAGAUCUUGGAGGGCUUUUCCGACCUUAAUGAUUCUUAGAUGUUUAUGGCUACAUCAUAUGGUACUAUACAGACACACCACAGCCGUUUACUCCCUGUAAACUCCACCACAGAAGCCCCGUGGCUAUAACCCUAUUCGGUCACACAGCCCCACAGCCCCGCGGCUCCCUGAUGGAGCGAACCAACGCCCCGCCCCUCCCCGCCCUCACGCGCUGCCUCCCGCCGCCAUUUUGCCGCGAGGAGCCCGCCCCCCUUUCCCCUCCGCCCCGCGCUCGCUCUCGGCCGUUUCUGUCCCUCCGCCGCCGCC